rnacentral:lncRNA from 1 species
UGUGUGCUGAGUCAAUGAAUAACUGGGUACGUGCUAUUCUAUACUGACUUCUGUUGAGUUCUAAUGUACAACACCCCCUUACCCCAUUCAGAGGCUAGAGCACAGUCUUCCCCAACAGACAAAAAUGCAGCAUUUGCGAGAGAUUCAGUGCCUAAGAUAAGGGACUUGUCACCUGGUCACGUCAGCAACUCACCACCAUGCCCAAAUAAUACAGUUUAUUUUCUGUAGAUAGGGGAUCUCCCUAUGUUGCCCAAGAGGUGCCAGGCACACAGCUGAUUCAGUUUCAAUGUUAAUUCAUUUUAUUUUUCCUCCCCACUUUGCCUUCUGCUCAUCCUGCAGCCCACAUUCCCGUCAUUUUCAAACGUACAGAAGUGAAAACUGUGUUGUCACUA